rnacentral:rRNA from 1 species
UAACCUGCCCAAGAGAUCGGGAUAACACCUGGAAACAGAUGCUAAUACCGGAUAACAACAGAUGAUGCCUAUCAACUGUUUAAAAGAUGAUUCUGCUAUCACUCUUGGAUGGACCUGCGGUGCAUUAGCUAGUUGGUAGGGUAACGGCCUACCAAGGCGAUGAUGCAUAGCCGAGUUGAGAGACUGAUCGGCCACAUUGGGACUGAGACACGGCCCAAACUCCUACGGGAGGCAGCAGGC